rnacentral:ncRNA from 1 species
GAGAGCCGUAUGCGGUAAAAGCCGCACGUACGGUUCGGGAAGGGGGGUUGAAACGUCUCAGACGCUUGGCCCCCUACUUCAC